rnacentral:rRNA from 1 species
GGACUACCCGGGUAUCUAAUCCCGUUCGCUCCCCUGGCUUUCGCGCCUCAGCGUCAGGUAAGGCCCAAGAAGCCGCCUUCGCCACCGGUGUUCCGACUGAUAUCUACGCAUUUCACCGCUACACCAGCCAUUCCACUUCUCCCUACCUCCCUCAAGACAGCCAGUAUGAGGAGCACUCCUGAAGUUGAGCCCCAGGAUUUCACUUCUCACUUAACCACCCGCCUACGCGCGCUUUACGCCCAGUAACUUCGGACAACGCUCGCCCCCUACGUAUUACCGCGGCGGCUGGCAC